rnacentral:lncRNA from 1 species
CCAAGAACAGUGCUUCAAUAGCUCUCUUUUUCACCCUCAACAUUCUCUUCUUUGCCUUGGUCAGUUCCACUGAAAAAUGCCCUGAUCCUUAUAAGCCUAAGCCCAAGCCCACUCCCAAGCCAACUCCCACUCCUUAUCCAUCUGCAGGAAAAUGCCCUAAGGAUGCCCUAAAAUUAGGUGUUUGUGCUGAUGUCCUCAACUUGGUGCACAAUGUUGUGAUUGGAUCUCCACCAACACUCCCAUGCUGCAGCCUUCUUGAAGGCCUCGUCAACCUCGAGGCCGCGGUAUGCCUUUGCACAGCCAUUAAAGCCAACGUUCUGGGGAUCCAUCUCAAUCUUCCUAUUGCCCUCAGCUUAGUUCUAAACAACUGCGGCAAGCAAGUCCCAAAUGGCUUCGAAUGUACCUAAAUUUCUAGUGUGACAGAAGGAUCCUGAUGUGCUUUCUGGGGAUUUUGUUCUUUGUGUUUUUGAUUUAUUGUAAAGUGUGCUGUUUUUUGAUUGCAGUAUUGUUGGCUUAACAAUAUAUUCAUUUAUUUUUCUUUUAUGAAGUGAUUUAAUGGAAAAAAUUGUUUUGAGUUCGGUCACCUUAGAUUAGUUUGUGGCUUAUGGCUUGGUCAUGAAUACUUUAAUACUCCUCCGUCCCACAAUACAAGUCUCUUUUGAAAAAAUUACGCAUGUUGCAUUGGAAACUAGAAGUGAACAAGUAUUAUGAGAAAAAAUUUCUUCUAAAAGAGACUAGUAUUGUGGGACGGAGGGAGUACAUGAGUGUCAGAGAGAGUAAACUUUUAAGCGUGGUUAAAAUUUUUCAAACUCCGAAAAAUUACGCAUGUUGCAUUGGAAACUAGAAGUGAACAAGUAUUAUGAGAAAAAAUUUCUUCUAAAAGAGACUAGUAUUGUGGGACGGAGGGAGUACAUGAGUGUCAGAGAGAGUAAACUUUUAAGCGUGGUUAAAAUUUUUCAAACUCCGUGAAAAAAGUCUGAAAGACUAGGUAUCUAAAUGGUGGUGAGUAGUGUGCUAAAUUUACAAAAUUGGGAAAGAAAUUUUUAUAUAAAAUGACAUGAUAUAAUUGAGGUGAUAUGUUUUAAUUCGUGUUAUUUAUGUGAAUAUCGGAUUCUAUUUCAAUCAAAAGUUAACAGGUUUCAUCUUUUAAAAGAUUUUGUACCCAUUUUUGUAUACGUAAUAUUUUUCUACUUUUUAAUAUUAAACCUAAUGGCUCAUCUUGCUAAUUGUCCGAAGACAUUUUCUUUUCUUCAACUAAUAUAAUUAAGAAAUUCGGGAAAAUAAUUUUAGUUCUUAUGAUACAAAUCUAAAAAUAUUAAAAAGAGAUCAUGCACUUGCGAUAUCUUAAAAUUAUAUUUUUCGCACAUGGACUAAAAUUCUAAAGUUAAAACUUAACGUACCAAAGUAGUGACUAACUCAAAUUUUAUUAUUUGAAUUUAAUGAUAUAAAAUAAGAAAAACUAUUAUUUUUUGGGCCCCUCUUGGAAAUAUUUAAAUUCCCCUAAAAUGAGUUUUUCUCGGGGAGGGUUUGUCGCCAGCAAUCCUGACUACCUUACAGACGACUAAUCAAAUAUAUCUGUACGCACCUAGUUCUCUAUUCGGUGUUAAUGAUGCCCGUGACAAUGCUAGAGUCAAGAAUGAAUACAGAAAUACCCUCAUAAACGGACCAGAUGAAUGUGGAUAAAUUACAAAUAAAAGAAUCCUGAAAUAUUUGUCAGGGGCAGUCUAAAAUAUAUGUCGGAAAAUAUAAUCAUAAUAACUAGCACAUCUAAAAUUUGAAGGUGUUAGAGGAAGGCUCAACAAGAUCUUAUGCUCUUUUCCUAGUGCAGCAUCGAUCAGUAGGACUAGGGGUCGUUUUUACUAAUUUAAACACCUAAAAAUGAAAGAAAUCUGAAAAAAUUUAACUUCUGACGGUAAGAUGAUGCAUGAAACAACAGAACGAAACAGAUGUAAACUAUAUAAUAUGGUUGAUUUCGGUUUGCUUGAUCCAUAUCAUACAAUUUUUUGAAAAAAAGCGAGAACUCACUACUAGAUAUAUUGCAUUAGACCUCGAUUAUUAAUCAAACGGAUGUCUUCGCAUGUGCAGAGAAAAGUAAGGGUAUAUGACAUCGGUUUUUAGCCGAUGUUAAAGGGGAAGGAACAUAGACAAGGGUUUGCUUAUGAAAACUGAUGUAUUUAACUCAUAUUUCUAAUUAUAUUGUAAAACUAAAUAUGAAAUCUUUCUACAUUAGUAGGUUAAGGAGCAUUAUAAACAUAUAUAAUACGGAAGAAUAUUAGACUCAUGCAUAGAUCAGAAUUGUUGUCAUUAUGAACAUGUCAAAACAUACUACAAACAAAGCUAUGUUAAAUCAUGAGAUAAAGAGCAAGCCAUGUUAAAAAACCAGGCUUUUACAUCAAUCGAGAACCUAACACUCUUAGAACUAUUUUCUCAAUGCCAAAUCCAAUCAAUAAUACCCCCCUUAUUAUUUCAUUAAGUACUUAUUCACUUCAAUAAGUUGUUUAUAAAUCAGACUAUGCUUCCUCUAUAUCAGUUCACGGGACAUCAAUUAUUGAUCAUAUGUGACAAGAACAUGCCAAGUUGUUCAUGUAUUAUUCACUCAUAUAGCCUCCAAAAAUAUCUCUUCAUUUAAUGUGCUUGACAGCUCAAUUUCACGAACUUAUCACACAGAAACCCCCUAUAAAUUCAUCACUAAUCACAAUCCUUUCCAUUACAACAUAAACACUCUUCUAAGCCUCUGAUCAACAAUAGUUCUCAUUAGUCUUUGAGUUUGAGAGAUGGGGUCCAAGAACAGUGCUUCAGUAGCUCUCUUUCUCACCCUUAACAUUCUCUUCUUUGCAUUGGUGAGUUCCACUGAAAAAUGCCCUGAUCCUUAUAAGCCUAAGCCCAAGCCCACUCCCAAACCAACUCCCACUCCUUAUCCAUCUGCAGGAAAAUGCCCUAGAGAUGCCCUAAAGUUAGGUGUCUGUGCUGAUGUCCUCAACUUGGUGCACAAUGUUGUGAUUGGAUCUCCACCAACACUCCCAUGCUGCAGCCUUCUUGAAGGCCUCGUCAACCUCGAGGCCGCGGUAUGCCUUUGCACUGCCAUUAAAGCUAACAUAUUGGGAAAGAACCUCAAUCUUCCUAUUGCCCUUAGCUUAGUUCUUAACAACUGCGGCAAGCAAGUUCCAAAUGGCUUCGAAUGUACCUAAAAUUUCUAGUGUGAGAGAAGGAUCAUGAUGUGCUUUCUGGAUUUUGUUCUUUGUGUUUUUGAUUAUUGUAAAGUGUGCUGUUUCUGAUUGCAGUAUUGUUGGCUUAACAAUAUAUUAAUUUUUUUUUUUUGUCAUUUAUGAAGCAAUUCAAUGGAAAAUUUUGUUUUGAGUUCUGUCAUCUUAGAGUAGUUAUUAGUUUGUGUUCAUGAGUACUAAUUUGCAGACUACUCAAGCCCAUGUGCAAAAUUGAAAGUAUUGUGUUGUGAAUAUUAAAAUUUCGAAACUGGUAAAAUUUCAUAUAUAUAGUACCCAUUAUUCUUUAGAAAAUCGGUGAUUAAACAACAUUAAUAACCGAUUAAUUACCGUUUCGUAAUUCGUCGAGCUAAUUAAAUUUCGAAUUAUUUAACAAUCAUUUAAUUGAAUUUUUUUUGAUCCAAAUAACCCAUGUUCCAUACUGUAAAUAUAAUAUUGGCAUCAAUAUAAAUCUUAAAUAAAUGGAUCCAUAAAAAUAAAAAUGUUGGAAUUCAUGCACUUGCAUAUUCAUUUUCAUAUUCAGAGUAUCUAUUUAUUAUAUGUUCAUGCAACUUGUAAUCAAGUUCAUUUAGAGUUCUUUGUAUCAACUCUUUAAAUAUUCUCUAGAAUCUAUACAAAGUAUAUUCUACAUCAUUUGUAAUUCACUUCAAUCAGUGAAAUCAAAUUUAGAAAUAUAAAAGUUCUUUCAUCUUUAUUUCUUUUUUUUUUCCAUCUAUAUUUCUUUCUUAGAGCUCGUAGCAACUCAUUUAGUUUCAUUCAAAAAUUAUAUGCCUAAAAGAUGUAUAUAAAUGAAAUUGUUCAAACGUAUUUUAGUUGUAAUAUAUACGCCUAUUAGAAUAUGUUAAAAUAAAAUAUCUGUAAACCGACCUCUAAUUUGACAUUUGCUUCAUUAAAACAAAUAUUAUAUAUAUUUGAAGCUAUGAAAAUAAUUAAAAAAUAAUUUGAUCAAAGAAAAUGAAAAUAUUUAAAUUAAUUUUACUACAAGUCUGAGUAAAACAAAAAACCAUAAACUAGUAGUUAAUUUAAAUACCAACCACCCGACUACUAAGAUUUUUAGGAUUUUUUAUAAAUACCUACAUCUUAAAAACAAUUGCAAAAAUAUUAUCACUUUUUAAAACAAAUUGCAAAAAUACUAUGUUUUUUUAAAAAAAUAUUGACAAAAAUAAGGAGGUUGCAUAUGCAACCAUAUUUGCAACUGUUAGCAACUAUAUAUGCAACCACAAAUACAAUUUUGACUGAAAAUUUGCAGGUACUUGCAAAUGACGAAAAUGAGUACCUCUGCGUUGCCAAUACUAAUAUCACAAAAGUAACCAUGAAAUGAACUAAAACAUAACGAGAAAAUCAAUUAAAAGCAACUCAACAACCUUCAAAGAAACUGAAUUCAGGUAACAAUUGUUAUGUUUUGAUUUUGUAUAAAUGUAUAUAUGAUUUUGUGCAUGCAUAUACGUGUUUGCGGUCAGUGGCGGAGGCAGAACACAAUACUCAAGGAGGCACUUUUUAAUUUUUAAUAUUCUAGGGGCAAUUUUUAACAUUCCAGGGUCACAAGGAGUAAUAUUUUGUAGAUUAAUAUUGUCAAAUAUAUGGAUCUCAUAUAAAAACAUAUACACUUUUCUGAAACCUACGGGGGCAUGGGCACCCAGAGGCCCCCAUGUCCCUCCGCCUCUGUUUGCGGUGCUGGUGGGCUUGGUGGUGUCCGAAUGCGGGGCUCGAAAGGGUGGUGUGGGGAUUAGUUUUUUAACCGGAGGAGGGGAUGUACAUUGGAGGCUGUUGAUGUUGAUUGUUGGUCUAUAAUGGCCGACUGUAGGAAUGGAUGUUCGUGCGGGAGGAAUAAGGAGAGGGAGAAGAGAGUGCAUAUUGAGAUAGAGAAGAGAUUGAGAGCAAAGAUGAGGUAGAGGCAUUUGUUGGAGUAAGGAGAAAUAGGAACACAAAAGCACCCUAGAAAUCAGGAAGCCUGAACAACUAAAAAUACUUGCCCACAUAAUACUCCACUACUUAACUCCCUUGCUUCAAACAUGCAGAUCACACCAAGAAGUUUUCGGAAAUAAUAAUGCUUAGCUUGAGAAAGCGACUUCGUCAAAAUAUCAGCUUUUUGUUCAUUUGUUGGACAAAAUUUGAGCUGCAAUUCUCCAUCUGCUGUGUGACUGCGGAUAAUAUGAUAAUGAAUGUCGAUGUGUUUGGUUCUACUAUGGAAGGCUAGAUUUCUUGUCAUUGCUAUUGUUGCUUUAUUAUAACAAUACAUUUCUGUUGCACCAUCUUGUUUUUGAUGUAUAUCAACCACCACACGUUGCAACCAUAAAGCUUUAAACAUAUUCAGCCUCCGACGAAGAUAAAGCAACCACAUCCUACUUCUUUGAACUCCAUAAAAUUUCUCCUGAACCCAAAGCUAAAAACAUGACCUGAAGUGCUCUUUCUAUCAUCAAGACAACCUACCCAAUCACUGUCGCUAUACCCAAAAAGCUUGAAAUCCGCAUCUUUUGAAUACCAAAUCCCAAACUCAGUCGUCCCUGCUAUAUGACCAAGUACUCUCUUUGCGGCACCUAAAUGUUGCUUUGUUCGAUUAUGCAUAUACCUGGAUAGCACACUCACAGAGUGCAUGAUAUCUAGUCGUGUAUGCGUCAGAUAAUUUAGCCCGCCAAUCAGACUUCUGCAAUAGCUUGUAUAUGCAAUUGGUGUACCAUCUUAAGCCUACAAUUUUUCACCGGUAUUCAUAGGUGUAGCUGCUGCCUUACAAUUUUUCAUAUGAAACCUACAGAGCAGGUCUUUAGCAUAUUUCUUUUGCGCAACAAAUAUUCCAUCAUCUGCUUGUUUCACCUCAAGACCAAGAAAAUACUGCAAUGUCCCUAAAUCUGACAUCUCACACUCACUUUUCAUACAUGACCUGAACUCAUUAACAAGAGUUUCAGACGAUCCAAAAUAGAUCAUGUCAUCAACGUAAGUGCGUAUUACUAAGAAUUCGCCAUUAUCAUGCUUUUCACAUAUAGAGUGGGUUCAUUUUCGCUCCUGACGAAACCAUGUUGUAGAAAGUAAGAAUCAAUUCUCUUGUACCAUGCUCUCGGUGAUUAUUUUAACCCAUAAAGAGCUUUAAUUAGCUUGUACACCUUAUUCUCCUUCUCAUUAACAACAAAUCCAUCAGGCUGUGAGACAUAAACAUCCUCUUCUAGCUCCCCAUUUGGGAAAGCAGAUUUUAGAUCAAAUUGAUGCACAUGUAAGUUCAUUUUAGUAGCUAAACAAAGGAGAGUUCUUACCGUUUCAAAACGAGCCACCGGUAAGAGAGUUUCGUCAAAGUCAACACCUUCCUGUUGACCGUACCCUUUCGCCACGAGCUUGCUUUAUAUAUACUUUUGGAUGAUCCCAUCUGCAUGAUGCUUUAUCUUAUAUACCCAUUUGAGACCAAUGAGAGUUUUUCCUUCUGGUAAAUCAACCAAUUCCCAUGUUUUGUUACGAACAAUAGCUUGCAAUUCUUCAACCAUUACAUUCUACUAAUUUUCAGUGUUAAUUGCUUUUUCAAAAGAUUUAGGUUUCGACACAUUUAAUGCAAAGGGAAGAGAUUCAUAUAUCUCCUCAAUAGACUUCAUUUUUUUGGAGGUGUUUCACUUGAAGGAGUACAGGAUGAAGAGUUCACUGGAGACCCGCUUCCAUCAAAUUUUUUAUCAACACUAACCAGUGAAUUUGGAAGACAAGAAGGAACAUUGGAAUAACCAAUUGGUUCAUCUUGGAUGGCAACUUGAUACUAAUAUCGACAAGAUCAGAAGCAACAUUCCAGCUUGAUUCCUCAUUAAAUACAACGUCCCUGCUGAUGAUGAUAACUUUUUCCUUCACCGUAUCGUACAACUUGUAUGCUUUCGAAGGAAUGCUAUAAUUGAUAGAUUUGCAUUUUGUAGCUUUCUCAUCAAGAUUUUUACGAUAUAGAGCAUCCACUAAAACAUAAGCAACGAACCAAAUACACUUAGAUGACUUACAUCAGGCUUACUACCUUCCCAUGCUUCGUAUGGAGUUUGAUUAUACACUGCCUUGGUUGGACAAAUAUUCAGAAUGUACACAGCUGUAGCAACAGCUUCACCCCAAAAUAUUUUAGGAAUGCCUCUUUCUUUCAUAAUACUUCUUGUCAUCUCUACAAUUGUGCGAUUUUUUCAUUACGCGAUGCCAUUUUGUUGGGGCUUGCGAGGUGCUGUGAGUUCUCGAAAUAUAUCAUUAUUUUCACAAUAAGUAUUAAAUUCUUGUGACAAGAAUUCACCUCUCCUAUUUGUUCAAAGUGUCUUGAUCAUUCUCUCACCUCGCUUUUCCACGAGAGACUUAAAUUUCUUAAAACAACCAAAUGCCUCAGAUUUGUACUUCAAAAAGUAGACCCAACACAUACAGCUUUAAUCAUCAACAAGAAGUAGGAAAUAGAGACUUCCACCCAAAGUUUCUACAGACAUUGGACCACACAAAUCUUCAUGAAUUAGUUCUCAACAUAUUGAAGCUCUCCAAGCCUUGCCUACUGUGAAUGUUUGUCUACUCUGUUUUCCAUAAACACAGCCCUCACAAAAACUGAGAUUACUGAUUUUGGGCAGCCCAAUUAUCAUAUCCUUGUUUCCUAAUAACAGUAAACCUCUAACAUUUAAAUGACCAUAUCUUAAAUGCCAUAGAUUUUAUUUGGAAUCAUUUGCUAAAAGGGCAUGACUCUGGCUCACAUUAAGAGGAAACAUUCUAUUCGAGCCAUAAAUAGAUUGUUUUCUUCAUCUAGAUAUUCAUCGGCUUGGUGAUAUUUAUUCUAUUCGAGCCAUAAAUCGAUUGUUUAAAAAUAUAGUAAAUUUGUAAGGUUUUAGACAAGUUAGUAUAUGUACAAAUAAAUAUUCAAAGAUGAGUAUAUUUUUCAAAUUCCCAAAUUUUCAUAUUUUAAUUUUCAUAUGAUAAUAUAAAUUAUACAUAUUAUAAUAUAAUUAAUAAGUUAUGAGAUUAUUAGAUAAAAUAAAUACGAUAAAAUAUUUACCUGAGGGAUUCAAUACUUUGACGCUCAAUUAUCAAAAUAUAUAUUCCUAAUAUGUUAGUUUCUUAAUAUUUUGACAUCUAUUUUUAAGAAUUUUGACCACACACAUAAAAAAUGUAUUUACAAAAGUAAAAUUUUAGAAAUAUUUCCUCCAUCCUAUUUUAACUCAUGUUAAAUUUUUUGACACAGAUUUUAAGGUGCUAAAUAUCACAUCUAAAUAUAAUAUUUUUAUUAUAAAAUCUAUAUCAAAUAAAAAUCUAGAAACUAAACUUUAAAAAUUUAAUAUGAAAGUUAAAUAUUUUUGUUAAGUGUUAUUUUUUAAACUAUAAUAUAUAUAUAUAUGUCAAAUGCCAAAAAUAGUAAUGGAGGAAGUAAUAUUUUUUUAAAACUCUUCAAAAUACAUAUAAAAAGUCCAACUGAAUAAAAUUAUUUUUUAUGAUUAAACUUAAGGGUUUUUAUACAUAACCAAGUUUGGAAGAAUUUUUGCGAAAAUACUAUCAGUUUUUUAAAAUUACGGUGGUUGCAUAGGCAACCCGCAUCUGAAACUGCCAGCCAGCAACAACCACAUGCAACGAGAAAUGCAACUUUGAAAUAAAAAAAUUUGGAAAUUAUAUUUGUUUCUAUAAUAGGUUACAACCGGUUGCAAGACAGAAAAAUAACCCCUACCGGCCAAACAUUACGACCUAAAAACAACUAAUACAACAACUUUUGCAAUUUUGAAACAGACUACUCAAAUUAACUAUCCCAGCCACUCAUUCUUCAAACAAACUCUUCGACUACAACUCAAUCAAAAAGAAGAACAAGACUCGGACCUGCGACUUGGACUCAGAGAAAACACACAAGAAAUCAGCCACUCUCGGUGUCACAGCAAAACACAACAAACAAAUCUCAAGAAAUCGAAGCAAAAUCCAGCAGAAUCAAACAUCAACUCAGCUACUCGGCGUGACUCGGAGGUGACUCGGUGCAAAUCACAAACAAAAGAACGAAAAGACGCAACCAGAUGAGGAGCCUAGGCGGGACUUGGCGGCGCGUGAGAAUAGGGAGAGGUGGGAGAGUUCGUCGGCGAGGGGGAUGGGCAGGAAGAUGAUAGUGCGGGUUGAAGAGGAGGGAGGGUUUGAAGAGUGAUUAAUUGAUUGUUGGAGAGAGAGAGAGAGUGGGGGUGAGGUGAGAGAGGAGGAAAAAUAAGUAGUAAAGAAAUAAAAAGGUGAAUUAGAGAAGGUAGUAUUUUUGAAAAUAAGAUUGAAAAAAUGUAAUAUAUUUGAAAGAUUUUUGAGAGGGUGUAUAUUUGUAAAUAAGAUCCAUAAAAAUAGUAUACAUGGCAAAUAAUGGUUCAUCAGUGUGAUUAUAAUUCUAGGAGUUAAAAAUUAACAUACUGAUUACCGACUAACAAAAAUUUUAGUAUUUGAAUUUAAGGAUAUGAAACUAAAUACUCCCUCCAUCCCACAAUACAUGCCUCUUUUAAAAAAAUUAUGCAUAUUAAGAAAACAUUAAUUAGAUAAAAAUUUCUCACUUAUACCCUAAUGAAUACAUGAAUGUAGACUAUUAUUCAACCUAUAUUAAUUGAAAUUUUGGAAUAAUGUCAAUAUAUUUGCAUUUGGAAACUAAAAGUAAACAGGUAUUAUGAGACAAAAAAUUCUUCCAAAAGAGACAUGUAUUGUUGGACGGAAGGAGUAAAAUAUAUAAUUAAUCUGGGUCCCUCUUGGAAAUAUCAAAAUUCCGGUAAAAUGAAGAGUUCUUUCUCGGGGAGGUUUUGUCCACCUUACAGAGAUAAAAAAUCAAAUAUAUUUAAUCUGGUUGAUUUCGGUUUGCUGAUACCAUACAAUUUUUUUUUUUUUUUUAAAGCAAGAACUCACUACUAGAAUUAGACAUUGGCUCUUAACCGAAUUGAUGUCUUCGCCUGUGUAGAAAAAGGUCGGGGUAUAUGACAUCGGUUUCAGCCGAUGUAAAAGGGGAAGGAACAUGGACAAUGAUUUGCUUAUGAAAACUGAUGUAUUUAACUCAUAUUUCUUAUUAUAUUGAAAAACUAAAUAUGAUAUUUUGCUACAUUAGGAGGUUAAGGAGAAUCAUAAACAUAUAAUACGGAAGAAUAUUAGACUCAUGAUAUAGAUCAGAAUUGAUGUCUUUAUGAACAUGUCAAAAUAUACUAAAAAUUAACAAAGCUAUGUCAAAUGAUAUAAAGAGCAAGCAAUGUUAAAACCAGGCUUUUACAUCAGGAACCUAACACUCUUAGAACUAUUUUUUCCAUGCCAAAUUCAAUCAAUAAUACCCCAAACUGAAAUCUUUUGGCUUAAUGUCCUUUUAACCCUAGAUGUUUGGGGGUGUGCCGAUGCGGCCUUACUGUUUUAACUCGGCCACUCCAAGUAUCCGAUAUGUUUUGAUUAGCCCUCAUACCAUGAGGAAGCAAAAAAACAGUAUAUAACAAAGGUUAAACUUGACAAUUCUAUUAAAGAUAAAGUUUUCUCAUUGCUCUUAACCCCUAAAGGAUACAUUAGAUGUUUCUUUCAACCCCUAAAGAAUACAUUAUAAUACAUUAGAUGUUCCUUUUAACCCUUAAGUUUAAUGCCCACAAAUGUGAAAUGUCAUGGUUGUCCAUCCGUUAUAUACCAUAUUUUGGUAUGAGGGCUAAUCGGAACAUAUCAGACAUUUGGAGGGUUGAAUCCGCCAAGUUAAAAUAUUGAGACUGUAUCGAGACACAUGGCGAACAUUGAGGGUUAAAAGGUCAUUUAACCAAUUCUUUUCAUAUAAAUGACCCCUAUUGUUUCAUUAAGUACUUAUUCACUUCAAGAAGCAGUUUAUAAAUCAGACUAUACUUCCUCUAAAUCAGUUCACGAGACAUCAAUUAUUGAUAUGUGACAAGAACAUGUCAAGCUGUUUAUGUAUUAUUCAGCCAUAUAGCCUCCAAAAAUAUCUCUUCAUUUAAUGUGCUUGACAGCUCAAUUUCACGAACUUAUCAGAGAAACUCCCCUAUAAAUUCAUCACUAAUCACAAUCCUUUCCAUCACAACAUAAACAUUCUUCUAAGCCUGAUCAACAAUAGUUCUCAUUAGCCUUUCUGUAGUUUGAGAGAUGGGUUCCAAGAACAGUGCUUCAGUAGCUCUCUUUUUCACUCUCAACAUUCUCUUCUUUGCCUUGGUCAGUUCCACUGAAAAAUGCCCUGAUCCUUAUAAGCCUAAGCCCAAGCCCACUCCCAAACCAACUCCCACUCCUUAUCCAUCUGCAGGAAAAUGCCCUAGAGAUGCCCUAAAGUUAGGUGUCUGUGCUGAUGUGCUCAACUUGGUGCACAAUGUUGUGAUUGGAGCUCCACCAACACUCCCAUGCUGCAGCCUCCUUGAAGGCCUUGUCAACCUCGAGGCCGCGGUGUGCCUUUGCACUGCCAUUAAAGCCAACAUACUGGGAAAGAAUCUCAAUCUUCCUAUUGCCCUCAGCUUAGUUCUAAACAACUGCGGCAAGCAAGUCCCCAAUGGCUUCGAAUGUACCUAAAAUUUCUUGUGAGAGAUGGACUGUGAUCUGCUUUCUGGAUUUCGUUCUUUGUGUAUUUCAUUAUUGUAAAGUGUGCUAUUUCUGAUUGCAGCAAUUCAUUUGGUUUUUAUUGAAAUUAUUUAAAGAACACUGAAGUCCCCGGUGCAGGUAUUGUGUCACGGGUGAAUACUAAAAUUUGGAAAUUGUUAAGAAUUUCAUAUAUUAUUACAUAGGAUCUUAUCUCCUCCACCAAUAAACUCAAUUAUGAUAAAUUUAAAGUAUGAUUUUUAAUUCGAAACAUCCAUAUAUAUAUAUGUGUGUGUAUGGACAUCAUUAUAAAAUAUUAUUUGUCCUUUUCACAAAUAAUACUGGCGAUCUAUUGAUCUUGUAAAUUUUCAUUGAAAAAACUCUUGUAAUUCAACAUUAUACCCAUCCAAGUCUUUUUGAUUGAAUUCAAAAUUAUGACAUAUGACUUAAUGCGAUAAAUUAGUUAGGUGUUUAAAAUUUCUGUUCGGAUAAUUUUGACUUAUUAAUCAUUUAAAUAUUAUUAAAAAUAUAAUAAUAAUAAUAAUAAUAAUAAUAAUAAUAAUAAUAAUAAUAAUAAUAAUAAUAUUUGGAUAACUUUUAUCGAAAAGAGAGGUUUUAAUAAAUUAGGUUACUCAAAAAGAUAACUCAAACUAACUUAUGACAUUUAGUUUAUCGACUCUGACUUUAAGCCAGUUUCUGACUUAUUGUGCAUGUUUGGCUAAUGCUACUUCUAACUUUUGCCGACUUCGAUCUAAUAUAACAGACAUUUUUCGGCUUAAAUGAGAAACAGUUUUUAGCCUUAAUUUACAGCCUUUUUGUUUAGGCUUUAAGCCUAAAAUUGCUAGCCUCAUCAGCUGGGGAUAUUUAUUCUCUGUGGAUUGAUUCUUUGUGUUUUUCACUUUUGUUUCUCGUUGUGGUAUUGUUGGGUGAACAAUAUAUUCAUUUGUUUGUAUCAGGCGAUUUAAUGAAAAAAAUUGUUUAGUAUUCUGUCAACUUACACUAGUGGCUUAUGGAUACUAAUAGCGGAAUAAAUUUUGUAAAUUAUAAAAUUUAUACGCUAUUUUCACUACAUAUAUAUGAACCAUUGAUUCAAUAUACAAAUAGAUAAAAUCAUCAUAAAUGAGAAUUAUAAUUUCUUUUGUGAUUCAUGUAUUCAUUACUAUAAAGAUAUUACUAUUUACUAAUUAAUAUACAGAAAUGAUUGACCAUAUAAGUGAAAUCAACUGUAUUUUGAAUAGGAAAAGGGAGCAUAGAUAAGAAUUUAAUUAUAUGUAUUGUAAAAGAUGUAUUUCUAUAUAAAGCCUUACCAGAAAAUUUUAAUAUAUCAAGUUUUAAGCCCUAAAUGUUGUUUUAAAACUUUUUCCUAACCACAUAAUAAUGACAACCAAAUAAUAUUGUAUAAUGCAGGUAAAUAUAAGUACAUGUCCAAUAAAGUAUUGCUAAAAAAAUUUUUGUAUAUAAUAUAAAGCAUUCAUUGUAAUGAGAAAAGGAUAAUUGAUAAAGAAUUAUUACGAAAAGACGGAAUUAGAUUGCUUUCAGUAUAAAUUUCACCAAAAUAUUAUAUAAAAUUACAUUAUUGUUAAUGAUCUUGGAUAAUAUUAUGAUCGCAACCUUAUAUCCGUCACACACACACAUAUAUAUAUAUAUAUAUAUCACUAUCACUUUACUCCCAACCUAUUAUUAAUAUAACUACGAGAAAUCUCUCCGUUAGACAAUAUUCAGUGAUAGUCAGUUUUAGCCUGGUCGGUUUAGACAUAUUGGUCGUAUUUAAUAUAUAAAAUCCAUCAUCGCGGUAGUUGGUUUUAACUGGUGCAAAAAACGUACACAAAUGGGACCUACAUUGCCGGCCGGUGCCACUUAGACGCAAGUGCCAUGUGUGCACAUAUAAUCGAGCGGAUUGGUGGUCGGUUAUGGUGUUUGACCAAAAAGGUCAAAUGUGGUCGGUUAUGGUGUUUAACCCAAUGAUCGGGUCUAUUCGAGAAGAAGCUAUGGCCUAUUAGAACCGACCACAUAACCGGCCGGUGAAGGUGGUCGAUUUAACCAAAAGAGGUGGUUGUCGGUCGGUUAGCUCACCUUGGUCGGGUUUAUCACAUAAGCGGCGGGAGCUUUUUAAAUCUGACCAACCAUAAUUGACCAGUUUUUUGAGAUUCGGUCGGUUUUUGUACUCUAACAAAUAAAAUGUUAGAGUGCAAAAUUUAUUUCAUUCUCCCUCCAUUCCAUUCCAUCCAAGUGAACACAUAUCUAAGACUGUGUUCACUUAUAUGGAAUGGAAUGAGGAGUAGAAUGUAAUGAGAAAUUAUAUAGAAAUUUUAUGGGAAAAUAUGAGAUAAUAAUGACUAAAUAUGAAUGAGUUUAAAUAUCUUGUGAUAAAGAUGGUAAAAAAACAUGAUGUAGAAAUGGAUUGAGCAUUCAUCCAAAACACGUGGAUGUGGGUUAGAAUUUUAGUAAUAUAGUAGCAUUAAUGGAAUGAUGGAAGGAAUGGAAAUUUUGAAAACUUUCUCUUACCAACAUCAUAUUAGAGUAUAAAAUUCAUUCUAUCUUCCCUCCAUUCCACUCGGUGAACACAACCUCAGUUUUCUGAAGAAAGCAUGUCACGCAUUUCCGUUUAUUAUUGUUCGAAAUCGCUUAUAUAAAACACUACAAGAUGAACCAUAUAUAUAUAAUACUUUUGUAACUUUUUCUAUUACGUCCCAUUUAAAUUUUCUUCUUUAACCUUUUAUGUCUCCAGGAUUCUUUCUAGGGCAGGGUUGGUCCAUACCCUGACCACCUUACAGAAUAAUCAAAUAAACCUGUACGAAUAUGUUUAUCUUCAUAUUCCCGUGUAUUGUUUGGUGUUAAUGAUUCCCGUGACAGUUAGAGUCAAGGUUCAACUCAAGUUCCAACAAUUAUACAUGGGAAAAGUAACACAUUGUCACAAAGGUAAAAUUAAAGCCCGAAGUGUUGUCAGCUGUAGAUAGUUCUUAAAUUGGUGAUAGGCUUGUUGACAAUUUAGACUUAUAUGUCUUAGAAAUGAGUAUCUGUUCUAAUACUUCUCAACAAUUUAGACUUAUAUGUGUUAGAAAUGAGUAUUUGUUCUAAUACUUCUCGAAUGAGUCAGAGUUAGAGUUGAACCCGGGUGUUCUAAAACAACAGAGGAUAAACGUCCCACCACUUGGGCUAUCCAGUCCUGCUCAAACAAUUAUUGUAUUAUUAUUACUUCAGAUCGAUUAUCAUUUUACUGCUGGGCACAACACUAAUUACUGUUUGAGUGUUUAUUAUUGAUCAUUCUACUUUGUUUUCUCGACGCAAGACUUGGAGUUGAACACGAUCUACACUUGCAUUAUAGAAGUUCCUGGUUCGAUCUUUAAUGAUUAGCAGACAUCAGAUUCAGAUGAACAUGACAAUUUGUAUAACCAACCAAUUUUGAUGUGCUUGCCAGAUCAAUUUCCGAAGCCAUGUCGAAAAACUUCCCUAUAAAUUCAUCCCUUUGACAACAACCUUCUCCAUCAGAACAACGACCCUUCUAAAAUCUGAUCACCAAUUGCAACUUAUUCGAAAAAAAUGGGUUCCACCAACACUGCUUCAGUUGCUCUAUUUUUCGCCCUCAACAUUCUCUUCUUUACACUAGUCAGUUCAUGCGACACUUGUUCUGGUCCGAAGCCUAAGCCUAAGCCAACUCUUCCAACUCCAUAUCCAGCAAAUCCAUCUGCCGGAAAAUGCCCUAGGGAUGCCCUAAAACUAGGCGUCUGUGCUGAUGUCCUCAAUUUGGUGCACAAUGUUGUGAUUGGAUCUCCACCAACACUCCCAUGCUGCAGCCUUCUUGAAGGUCUCGUCAACCUCGAGGCCGCAGUAUGCCUUUGCACUGCCAUAAAAGCCAACAUAUUGGGAAAAAAUCUCAAUCUUCCUAUUGCCCUCAGCUUGGUUCUUAACAACUGCGGCAAGCAAGUCCCCAAUGGCUUUAAAUGUACCUGAAAUAUCUAGCCUCGAUUCGGAUCCUAAAUUGUUUGCUGGCUUUUAUUCUUUGUGUUUUUUCUUCAACUGUAAAAGUGUGUUACGUUAUUUCUUAUUUCAGUGUUGGCUUAAUUAAUUGUUAGAAUUCAAACCCUUAUUUGAAUAAUUAAAUAUAUAUGAACAGCUAGCUAGGUUGAAUAUGUAAGUUCACACUUGUGGUCAUAUAUAUCCAGCAGAAAAGGAAUUUAAAGAAUUGCAGAUUACAAGUACAUGUGAUCACCAUGCAGCUGCGUUGAUACAAAGGCCAGGAAGAAAGGUGGCUGGUGCAAAAUACAAUACAUGGCUCAAAUGUAAACUUAAUAACAGGAGGUGGCACAUGCAGAAGAAAACAAGGACACGUGGCAACAGCUUUCACAUAGUCAAUAAAAACAGGUUGCAAGUCUUUGUUCAAACCCUAAUAUAUGGAAGAUUGGAGUUUGAAUACUACAUAUAAAAGCGUGGCCAUGAAACGAGGAAGUAAAUGCCUGGUGAUGUAAGGCAUGACAUGAAUGCAUGGUUUUGAGUCUAUAUAUAGGAACGACUCUCCAGUAUACAAUAACAAGUGAAGAGAAAAUCUGAAGAGAGAAUUGUAAAGAGCUUAAGCUCGUUGAGUGAAAAAGGCUGAAGCCUAGUGUGUGUAGAAAAAUUAUAAGUAUUGUAGCUGCGUGUUACAUUAAUAUACAAGUUGUGUGGUUGCAUAUUAUUAUAAUCGAAGUUUUUUGUUUUAAGGCCCAUACACGUUUCCAACAAGUGGUAUCAGAGCCGAGGUUUUGUUCGAGAAAAAAGAAUGGUAAGUUUCCUGGAAGCCCAAGUUCCAAUGUUGACGGGCACAAAUUAUGGAGACUGGAGUAUCCAAAUGAAGGAAUUACUCCAUUUUUAUGAUGUUUGGGAUAUAGUCGAAAGAGGGUAUGAUGAGUUCACAUCAGCGGCUGAAGUAGCUCUGUCAGAAGCCGAGAAGACGACAUUAAAUGGGUGCAGGAGCAAAAAUAACAAGGCAUGUUUCAUGAUUUAUCAAGGUGUCGACGAAUUAACCUUUGAUAAUAUUGCACAUGAAAAAAAAGCAAAAGACGCCUGGGAGAUUCUGCAGAAAUCAUUCCGAGGAGUUGAUAAAGAAGAAGAGGUGGAGCCUCAAGUAUUGCAUGGCGAGUUCAAGAAUAUGAAAAUGAAAAAUUCUGAAAAUAUUGAAGAAAAUGUUACGCGUUUGAAAACGGUGACAAAUGAGAUGAAAAGAAAUGGGGAAAGUCUGGAUGAUGUUCGGGUCAUGGAAAAGUUGCUCCGUUCAUUGACAAGAAAAUUUGAUUAUGUUGUAACUACGUUAGAGGAGUCGAAAGAUUGGUCCAGAAUUUCUAUUGAAGAGCUUGUAUGUUUGUUCCAAGACCACGAGCUGCAGAUGAAUCGUUAUGAUGAAGAAAUUAGCAGUUUGGAGAAUAUGGUGCAAUGGAAAGUGUUUGAUAAUAGGAGUCCUAGUAGUGGCAUUAUUAAUAUUUCAGGGGAAGCGCCAAGGAAUAUGCUGAGUCCAGAUAAUAUCUACAAACCAACAAGUCCGAUACAAACAAUCAUUGAUGAUUCAGUGUUUUGUUUCAAGGCAAGCGACGAAAGCAACAAAAGUUGGGAACAGGUGCAUCACAAAAUUGCAGAACGAGUUCACUACAUGACCAACGAAAUUUUAGAUGAUAUAUUCAUGAAGUUAUUAAAGUGGGGCGUCUUUCACAAAGCGAAAGAAAAACUCGAAAUGCAAAUUCGGGUUUGAGGGGGAGUGUUAGAAUUCAAACCCUUAUUUGAAUAAUUAAAUAUAUAUGAACAGCUAGCUAGGUUGAAUAUGUAAGUUCACACUUGUGGUCAUAUAUAUCCAGCAGAAAAGGAAUUUAAAGAAUUGCAGAUUACAAGUACAUGUGAUCACCAUGCAGCUGCGUUGAUACAAAGGCCAGGAAGAAAGGUGGCUGGUGCAAAAUACAAUACAUGGCUCAAAUGUAAACUUAAUAACAGGAGGUGGCACAUGCAGAAGAAAACAAGGACACGUGGCAACAGCUUUCACAUAGUCAAUAAAAACAGGUUGCAAGUCUUUGUUCAAACCCUAAUAUAUGGAAGAUUGGAGUUUGAAUACUACAUAUAAAAGCGUGGCCAUGAAACGAGGAAGUAAAUGCCUGGUGAUGUAAGGCAUGACAUGAAUGCAUGGUUUUGAGUCUAUAUAUAGGAACGACUCUCCAGUAUACAAUAACAAGUGAAGAGAAAAUCUGAAGAGAGAAUUGUAAAGAGCUUAAGCUCGUUGAGUGAAAAAGGCUGAAGCCUAGUGUGUGUAGAAAAAUUAUAAGUAUUGUAGCUGCGUGUUACAUUAAUAUACAAGUUGUGUGGUUGCAUAUUAUUAUAAUCGAAGUUUUUUGUUUUAAGGCCCAUACACGUUUCCAACAUUAAUAAUAUAAUCUUAUCCAACAUUUUUUGUUAAAUUAUCCCUAGCUACUUAAACAGUUUUAUGCCUUAAAACACCAACUCACACAAUAUAUACCAGGGUAGACUGAAUGUGAAAAUAUCACCCAUACAACAAAUAUCAUCUUGUCAAAUUGAUCACGGUCAGAUUAGUUUCUUUAAAUAUCUGAAUUAAUGGAAAGCAAUAGAUAUUUUAUUUAGAACGGUCUUUCUAAUGUGUGCCCAAGGGCACACAAUAAACACUAAUUCUCAUUAAAAUGCUUCUUUUGAUUGGUGGAAUUGGUGUAAAUGCAGGGGGACCAUCAACAUUUAUCAUCCAUCCAUCAAUCAAAAGCUAGUAUUAUCACGAGAGUUAGUGACUAGUGUGUGCCCAUGGAUACAUCAUAGAAAAUUCGUAUUUAGAAUUCCAAAGAGAUUGAUAAUCCAAUGUGUUAAAUAAUAAAGAUGUAAUCUCAUUAACCCAGCGUUAACAGAUUUUAGCAUAUAUAAGGGAUCAAUUUGAAUAAAUAUUUACGAAAAGAAUUAUACAAGCCCCCAGCUGGAUGAUAAUAAUGUGCUAUACAAGCCCUAACUAGGGGUGUCAGAUGGAUCAGAUUUGGAUCGGAUCACCCUUGAUCCAUAUCCUGAUCCGUCUAGUUUUAUCGAAUUAUAGACGGAUUUUUUAGAACAUGAUCCAUAUCCAGAUCCGUAGGAUCAACGAAUUUUCGGAUCGGAGCUCCGCUCCAUGUAUAUUUAGAAAAAAAUUUCCGUUCUUUAUAUUUAGAAUUUUCAGAUCACAUGAUAAUUCAGAUAUGUAUUAUAAAAUAAAGAUUAAAAAACGAAGUUAUAAUAUGACCCAUAUUUGGGCAAAGGUUAGGGCCCUAACCUUUGCCCAAAUAUGGCUCGUAUUAUAUUUAAUAAGAUUCAAAGUCUCCAUUGUUAACCUUGUAGUCCCUCUGUAGGUUGUUUAUUUUGUAGGAAUUUCAACACUUCCACAAAAUAUAAUUUCACAAAUUAUUUAAUUUUUUCAUUAUUUUGAACAAAAAUUUAAUGUUCAAAUAUUUUUAUAAAAAAGAAAUUUUUUAAAAAUGAUUAAUAAAAUUACAUAUUUUGUAUGCAUCUUCAUAAUAUGCGUGCCAAAUAAUACAAUAUAUUGUAAUAAAAAUUAAAGGAAAUAUUUACCUUUACUAUUCUUUCAUGAAAACAUUAUCAAAGGUUAAAACACAAUACGCAACUUCAACAAAUUAUAAACCAAGAAACAUAAUAUUUAAAUACUUCCGCUACAAUGAAAACUUAAACUACAUAUGGCAUGGAAAAAAGAUGUUGUCAAAUCAAGAUCAUGAUAUAAACAAGUUGAAGUGCUUGAUUGAUUUUUUUUGGUACUUGUCCCUCUUGCUUGGAAGUGCCCCUUUGGCAACAUUGUUUUUCCAGUAACCUAUAUGAUUCUUUCUAGGGCAGAAUUUGUCGAUAUCCUGAGCAAAAUUUACAGAAAUAAAAGGAAAAAUGUAUUUAUAUGAAUAUAUUAUGAUUAGGAGAGCUCCCGGCCAGCAUAUGGUUUGGUGUUAAUGAUGCCCGUGACAUGGUAGUGGAGUAAAAAUUCAGCAGAAUUUUGGAUGGUUUCGAAUUGGGGCAGCCUAAUCAUGUUACCUGUAUUUUAGAAUGACGUCUAUUCCACAUUUGAAUUACAAUUUACAUCUAGGACACUGNGGCUUCUCCUUCCUUUGACUGGGAAGAGCCCCUCAUUGCGACCCAUCCGCCUUGUCCUUGUGAGCAGCCUCAGUAUCAAGCCAGUGCCUUAAGUCAUGCUCAGUCAAUCUCUUUCCCGAAUGAACAAACGUAGGGCUGUAAAAUGAUCUGGGUGAUCCCGGGUACCCCUCUGCUCAAGUACCGGAUCAUAUUAUUUUUAGCUUGUCCAGAUUUGGGUCCGGGAUCGUUUAAUUCGGGUAUAAACCGAUCCCGGGUAUUUGAGAUUCGGAUUCGAACCGGAUAUGAUCCAGUAUCGNNNNNNNNNNNNNNNNNNNNNNNNNNNNNNNNNNNNNNNNNNNNNNNNNNNNNNNNNNNNNNNNNNNNNNNNNNNNNNNNNNNNNNNNNNNNNNNNNNNNNNNNNNNNNNNNNNNNNNNNNNNNNNNNNNNNNNNNNNNNNNNNNNNNNNNNNNNNNNNNNNNNNNNNNNNNNNNNNNNNNNNNNNNNNNNNNNNNNNNNNCGUCUCCUUUUACAUGUCCAUUUUGCUUUUUGAGAAGUCAAAUUGAUCAAUUUUUGACUAAACAUUACAAAUUAUCUAUUCAUUAUUUUUAAAAUCCGAAAGUUGCAUAUUAAAAUAGACAAAAUAUAUUUUCUAAUGAUAUAAUUUUCAUUAUUCUUCUUAAUUAUAUAAUACAUGUAAAUUACAGUCAAAAUAUAGUCAAUUGACUGAUCAAAAGUCAAAAUAGACAUGUAAAAAGGGAAGGAGGAAGUAAUAGAUUAUAUGAAAUCUUGUACCUAUUUUUCACAUAUUUGACAAUAGAAACGGAUCAUAUUGACUAGUGGUUUGUCGUUUCCUACCAAUUACAUUUCUGAGUUGAAAAAUUAUGACCAACACAAUCGGUAGGAAACUCUUUUCGACCGAAUUGAGUCGUACUCCACAUCGAUCUAUGAAACUUAAAUCAGUGAAAUUAAUGUCUGUUCACAGAAUUCGGUGGUCGAAAACACAUCCGUGACAAUAAGCAGAUAUACAUCUGUUUCAUAUAUCUCCCCAGCAGAACUUAUAGAUCUAGAUGAUUUAAAAUGGAACAUAAACAUUUGGGUAGAAAAUUAAACGGUUUGUCUAGUGUGUGCGCAUGGGCACAUGCUAAGCACGAAAUUUGAUAUGUUUAGGAGGUUUUGAUUGGUGUGAUUGUUGUAUUUGCAGAGGUCCACCAUUAUUAAGAUAGGAGAGUGAAUCAAAAUCUCCCAAACUUGUAAAAUUCCGCGCUUAGAAUGUGCCCAUGAGCACACACUAGAAAAACCGAAAAUUAAAAAUAUAUCAUACCCCCACCACAUAAGUUUCACCCCUGAUUUCAAUGUGCUCGCCAGCUCGAUUUCCAAAAGGUUGUCGCAGUCUUCCCCUAUAAAUUCACUCCCUGACUACAAACUUUUCCAUCAGAAAACAAAACCUCUCUGAUCUGCAUUUGCAUUCUCCACCAAUCCCUUAAAUCUGAGAGAUGGCCUCUAAGAGCAGUGCUUCAGUAGCCCUAUUUUUCGCCCUCAACAUUCUCUUCUUUUCGCUAGUUAGUUCAUGUGACUUCUGCCCCGGCCCUAAGCCGAAGCCGAAGCCAACUCCAACUCCAUACCCCUAUCCAACACCCUCAGCAGGAAAGUGCCCUAAAGAUGCCCUAAAAUUAGGUGUCUGUGCUGAUGUCCUCAACUUAGUUCACAAUGUUGUGAUCGGAUCUCCACCAACACUCCCAUGCUGCAGCCUUCUCGAAGGUCUCGUGAACCUCGAGGCCGCCCUUUGCCUUUGCACCGCCAUUAAGGCCAACAUUUUGGGGAUCAAUCUCAAUCUUCCUAUUUCGCUCAGCUUGGUUCUUAAUAACUGCGGCAAGCAAGUCCCGAAUGGCUUCGAAUGUACCUAAAUAGACAAGUGGUUAUCUGCUUUCUAUGUUUUUCGUUCUUUAAUUGUUGUGUAAUGUUGCAGUAGGUAGCUUCCCAUAAGCUAUUCUUCUUGUAUUUUCUAAUUCGUACGAUUCGGUGGAAUGAUAUCGAAUAAAUCUGCGCU